rnacentral:rRNA from 1 species
UACAGAGGUCCCGAGCGUUGUUCGGAUUCACUGGGCGUAAAGGGUGCGUAGGCGGUCGGGUAAGUCUGAUGUGAAAUCUCACAGCUUAACUGUGAAACUGCAUUGGAUACUAUUCGGCUUGAGGUCUGGAGGGGGGACUGGAAUUCUUGGUGUAGCAGUGAAAUGCGUAGAUAUCAAGAGGAACACCAGUGGCGAAGGCGAGUCCCUGGACACUUCCUGACACUGAGGCACGAAAGCUAGGGGAGCAAACAGG